CAAGUCGAGCGAACUGAUUAGAAGCUUGCUUCUAUGACGUUAGCGGCGGACGGGUGAGUAACACGUGGGCAACCUGCCUGUAAGACUGGGAUAACUUCGGGAAACCGAAGCUAAUACCGGAUAGGAUCUUCUCCUUCAUGGGAGAUGAUUGAAAGAUGGUUUCGGCUAUCACUUACAGAUGGGCCCGCGGUGCAUUAGCUAGUUGGUGAGGUAACGGCUCACCAAGGCAACGAUGCAUAGCCGACCUGAGAGGGUGAUCGGCCACACUGGGACUGAGACACGGCCCAGACUCCUACGGGAGGCAGCAGUAGGGAAUCUUCCGCAAUGGACGAAAGUCUGACGGAGCAACGCCGCGUGAGUGAUGAAGGCUUUCGGGUCGUAAAACUCUGUUGUUAGGGAAGAACAAGUACAAGAGUAACUGCUUGUACCUUGACGGUACCUAACCAGAAAGCCACGGCUAACUACGUGCCAGCAGCCGCGGUAAUACGUAGGUGGCAAGCGUUAUCCGGAAUUAUUGGGCGUAAAGCGCGCGCAGGCGGUUUCUUAAGUCUGAUGUG
rnacentral:rRNA from 1 species